UUAUUUACCUCAAAAAUAUAAGGGGCUAACUAGAAUUUACUUUCUAAAGUUACCUCAAUCUCAAAUACUCCCGCGUUUAUUUACCUCCAAGCCGCCACCCUAAAAAGGGAAAAAAUUACCGUGGAAGAAAUCGGCGAUCAAUUUCCGAUUAGUCCUUCUCAGGUUAAAUUUAGUCGAUGAAACGGCAAUGGGUGAUACUGGUAUAUUCCGGUUUUACGGGCUCGGAGAGUGAGUUAUUGAGCUCGCCGAGUAGUUCAUUUGGGAGAAUUUCCGACAAGGUUAAUAUAGCUCCGGCGAGGAGGUCUCUCUUAUCGGAUUCAAGAUAAGUUUGUAGAUCUUUUCUUGGCGGUGAAUGACUGCAAUGUGAAAGAUGCUCCGGCUUUCCUCAUCAACCUUCCAAAUGAGAUCUGGAUAAGACUGAAUAAGCUCAACUAUGAACUUAAAAUUUCCCAACUCUGCUGCUACAAACAAUGGCCGCGACGGACUUCUGAGUUCACCCCAUUAUACAAAAACAAAGCAUAUAUAGAAAUUAAAAGCAUUGAGAAAUAUUUUUUGCUUAACUGGGCCUGAGGAAGGAAGUGGGAAGUGUCUGAGGAGCAG